AUACUCCUGACUGACCGAUAGUGAACCAGUACCGUGAGGGAAAGGCGAAAAGAACCCCGGCGAGGGGAGUGAAAAAGAACCUGAAACCGUGUACGUACAAGCAGUGGGAGCACGCUUAGGCGUGUGACUGCGUACCUUUUGUAUAAUGGGUCAGCGACUUAUAUUCUGUAGCAAGGUUAACCGAAUAGGGGAGCCGAAGGGAAACCGAGUCUUAACUGGGCGUUAAGUUGCAGGGUAUAGACCCGAAACCCGGUGAUCUAGCCAUGGGCAGGUUGAAGGUUGGGUAACACUAACUGGAGGACCGAACCGACUAAUGUUGAAAAAUUAGCGGAUGACUUGUGGCUGGGGGUGAAAGGCCAAUCAAACCGGGAGAUAGCUGGUUCUCCCCGAAAGCUAUUUAGGUAGCGCCUCGUGAAUUCAUCUCCGGGGGUAGAGCACUGUUUCGGCAAGGGGGUCAUCCCGACUUACCAACCCGAUGCAAACUGCGAAUACCGGAGAAUGUUAUCACGGGAGACACACGGCGGGUGCUAACGUCCGUCGUGAAGAGGGAAACAACCCAGACCGCCAGCUAAGGUCCCAAAGUCAUGGUUAAGUGGGAAACGAUGUGGGAAGGCCCAGACAGCCAGGAUGUUGGCUUAGAAGCAGCCAUCAUUUAAAGAAAGCGUAAUAGCUCACUGGUCGAGUCGGCCUGCGCGGAAGAUGUAACGGGGCUAAACCAUGCACCGAAGCUGCGGCAGCGACGCUGAUGCGUUGUUGGGUAGGGGAGCGUUCUGUAAGCCUGCGAAGGUGUGCUGUGAGGCAUGCUGGAGGUAUCAGAAGUGCGAAUGCUGACAUAAGUAACGAUAAAGCGGGUGAAAAGCCCGCUCGCCGGAAGACCAAGGGUUCCUGUCCAACGUUAAUCGGGGCAGGGUGAGUCGACCCCUAAGGCGAGGCCGAAAGGCGUAGUCGAUGGGAAACAGGUUAAUAUUCCUGUACUUGGUGUUACUGCGAAGGGGGGACGGAGAAGGCUAUGUUGGCCGGGCGACGGUUGUCCCGGUUUAAGCGUGUAGGCUGGUUUUCCAGGCAAAUCCGGAAAAUCAAGGCUGAGG
rnacentral:rRNA from 1 species